rnacentral:miRNA from 18 species
AAUUGCACUAGUCCCGGCCUGC